AACGAACGCUGGCGGCAUGCCUAACACAUGCAAGUCGAACGAGACCUUCGGGUCUCGUGGCGCACGGGUGCGUAACGCGUGGGAACCUGCCCUUAGGUUCGGAAUAACUCCCCGCAAGGGGUGCUAAUAUCGGAUAAUGUCUUCGGACCAAAGAUGUAUCGCCUUUGGUUGGGCCCGCGUGGGAUUAGCUAGUUGGUAGGGUAAAAGCCUACCAAGGCGACGAUCCAUAGCUGGUCUGAGAGGAUGAGCAGCCACACUGGGACUGAGACACGGCCCAGACUCCUACGGGAGGCAGCAGUGGGGAAUAGUGGACAGUGGGCGAAAGCCUGAGCCAGCAAGGCCGCGUGAGUGAUGAAGGCCUUAGGGUUGUAAAGCUCUUUUACCCGGGAUGAUAAUGACAGUACCGGGAGAAUAAGCACCGGCUAACUCCGUG
rnacentral:rRNA from 1 species